GUGGGGAAUUUUGGACAAUGGGCGCAAGCCUGAUCCAGCAAUGCCGCGUGCAGGAUGAAGGCCUUCGGGUUGUAAACUGCUUUUGUACGGAACGAAAAGCCCUGGGUUAAUACCCUGGGGUCAUGACGGUACCGUAAGAAUAAGCACCGGCUAACUACGUGCCAGCAGCCGCGGUAAUACGUAGGGUGCGAGCGUUAAUCGGAAUUACUGGGCGUAAAGCGUGCGCAGGCGGUUUUGUAAGACAGAGGUGAAAUCCCCGGGCUCAACCUGGGAACUGCCUUUGUGACUGCAAGGCUAGAGUACGGCAGAGGGGGAUGGAAUUCCGCGUGUAGCAGUGAAAUGCGUAGAUAUGCGGAGGAACACCGAUGGCGAAGGCAAUCCCCUGGGCCUGUACUGACGCUCAUGCACGAAAGCGUGGGGAGCAAACAGGAUUAGAUACCCCGGUAGUCC
rnacentral:rRNA from 1 species